rnacentral:misc_RNA from 1 species
GCCUGUUCCCAGAUUGGUAAGCUGUGGAGCUCGAAUCAUCAACCGAUACAGUUGAGUAAUAGAAACAAACCGAUUCAACCUUAGUCUCUUCAAACUAGGUGACCUGAUUACUAGCUUCUCCAAUGCCUCAAAGUCUAUAGGGCAUUCAACACAAUCAAAGGUCAAAGACUCCAAACACGUUUUGUUCUCAGGGAAGUAGGAAAUCCAG